UCGGUUGGCAGCCGGGAGAGUGGGAGAUGCGCCGGAGACCUGAGGGGCGGAACCGAAGCGAAGGUGAGAAAUUCGCAGGCAGUUUGGAGCUGGAGCUGAGCGGCUAUCGCUCAGUGAGAUCAUGGGCUCGACCGGGCCGUGGGGAGAGGGGUUCAUGAACCUGCGGGUGCCUCCUGCUGGGGUAUUUGGUGUGGCCUUCCUUGCGCGAGUCGCCCUGGUUUUCUACGGGGUGUUCCAAGACCGGACCAUGCUUGUGAGGUACACAGACAUCGACUACCAGGUCUUCACGGACGCCGCGCGCUUUGUCACGGAAGGGCGCUCCCCUUAUCUGAGGGCCACCUACCGUUACACCCCGCUGCUGGGUUGGCUCCUCACUCCCAACAUCUAUCUCAGUGAACUCUUCGGAAAGUUUCUCUUCAUCAGCUGCGACCUUCUCACCGCCUUCCUCAUAUACCGCCUGCUGCUGCUGAAGGGGCUGGGACGCCGCCAGGCUUGUGGCUACUGUGUCUUUUGGCUUCUUAACCCCCUACCUAUGGCGGUCUCCAGCCGAGGCAAUGCGGACUCGAUCGUCGCCUCCUUGGUGCUUAUGGCCCUGUACUUAAUAGAGAAAAGACUGAUCGCGUGUGCCGCCGUAUUCUAUGGUUUCGCGGUGCAUAUGAAAAUGUAUCCGGUGACCUACAUCCUGCCCAUAGCCCUCCACUUGCAGCCAGAACGCGACAAUGAAGAAGACCUCCGUCAAUCCCGGUAUUCUUUUAAGGCUCGUUUGUACGAAUUCCUGAAGAGGCUGUGUAAUCGGGCUGUGUUGCUCUUUGUAGCAGUUGCUGGGCUCACCUUUUUGGCCCUGAGUUUCGGUUUUUACUAUAAAUAUGGCUGGGAAUUUUUGGAGCACACCUACCUUUAUCACCUGACUAGGCGGGAUAUCCGCCACAACUUUUCUCCAUACUUCUACAUGCUGUAUUUGACUGCCGAAAGCAAGUGGAGUUUUUCCCUGGGAAUUGCUGCGUUCCUUCCACAGUUCGUCUUGCUUUCAGCCGUUUCUUUUGCCUAUUACAGAGACCUCAUCUUUUGCUGUUUCCUUCAUACAGCCAUUUUUGUGACUUUUAACAAAGUCUGUACCUCCCAGUACUUUCUAUGGUACCUCUGCCUACUGCCCCUUGUGAUGCCACUAGUGAGGAUACCUUGGAAAAGAGCUGUAGUUCUCCUCAUGUUAUGGUUUAUAGGGCAGGCCUUAUGGCUGGCUCCUGCAUAUGUUCUUGAGUUUCAAGGAAAGAACACCUUUCUGUUUAUUUGGUUAGCCGGUUUAUUCUUCCUUCUUAUCAAUUGUUCCAUCCUGAUUCAAAUCAUUUCCCAUUACAAGGAGGAACCCUUGAUAGAGAGAAUCAAAUAUGACUAAUAUAUGCUCCAGAUUGUCUGCCUGUUACAUUCUGAUUAUUCUUUGUGGACCAGAAGAGAGUUUUGGAAAAAAAUUUUUGAACAUUGUAAACUCUCUAGUUAAAGAUCAGUUUGGAGCUUAAAACGGUCUUCCAACAGAAAUUAAAGUGAAUGCUCACCUCAUAUAUAAAAAUAAUUGAGGUUCACCCUCUAGGAAGUCUUAAGACUCAUUUAUCUGGGACCUGAUGUGAAGUUAAGGUUAUUUGUUGAAAAUUGGGAAGGUUGAUAAAAUCGUAAGAUGCUGAAAGGUUUUUGUAGAAAAAUAGAGGAAUGCAGAUAAGAGAUAUAAAGUCUAAGCCAGUGUUUGUUCCAGUUAUACUAUACUGUUUUAAGCUGUGUUUAUCUUCUUGUGUGUGUGCUUAUCUUUUAAGCCUCACUUUUUCUUUCUGAAGCUUUCCUGGCAACUUUGAAAACUCACAAAACGUUCUAAAAGUCUAUCUUUUUAGACGUAAGGUGUUAAAUAAUACUUCUGUGGUUAUGUCGGGGUAAGUUGUUUACUUUGUAUUAAAAGUGAGGGUUUACCUGAUGGCCUUGUUGCAGCCCAUCCAGGCCUCACCCUCUGCCUACAGCAACUACAGUGGAGAUAGGGACCCUGAAGUAAACAAUUUUCCCUUGGUGUUUCCAAGAAAAUCUCUGUCCACGUGGGGCAACACGAUAUGUUAGGUGAGUAGCAGAAUUUUCUUGUGAAGCCAGCCUCUCCUUCUGGCAACAUCCAGGACUUGCAAGGGGCCAUAGGUUGUUCAUGAAGUUUAUCUGAAGCAGUAUAUGCUUAGGGUAUGCCAGCAGAGAGCAAGAGAAAGGGCAGAGGAAAUACCAAGGAGAAAAGUUCAAUCCUCAGGGGGCCCAGCCAUGCUCAUGGAACUUUAAAUGGAGGAUGAAGAUCAUGAUUUCCCAGGGUCCCCAAGAGAUGAUGCAGGAGAUCUGCAGGGUGUUCGAUGCACUUGGUUGUGAAUGGGACCUGACUGAACACUGCAAGCUGUUGUGCACAUGCAGUACACCGGGCUGGGGUGACUUUUUUUUAGUGGCGGACGGAGGUGUGCAGACUGCCGUGGUGGGGUCUUCGUGGGGUGCAAGUAAAAAGGAUAUCUGGAACUUUCACAUCCUUCAAAACAGUUGCAACCUACCUAGAAAAGUAGCUUCAGCUUUCAGGUGCUCCAAGGAGCUGUCUUCGAUACCAGAAGAGGGGUUUUCAGGCCCUCGUUGCCAGAUGGCCACUCUACACACCAUCUGGGCAGAACUCCAGACACUGGACUGGUAUGUUUCCCCUGGGGCCUAGAUUUCCUCUGCCAGCCUGGUGGAAAGGGCCAGGGACCCUCAUACUGACUGUCAGUCAUCUUUUGGAAGCCUAUUAAAGGAGGAGCUCCUUUGUGAUUUUGGUGCCACCUUGAUUGGCAUCUCCAGUCAAUACUCUUAAGAAUGCUCAGAAGUACACAGAAAACAAGUGGCCUAUGAGGGCCAGGGGUCAAGCUAUGGAGCACAAGUCAUGUGCCUUCAAAGCCCCUAGUUUGCCUGGAGAAGAAGACAACCCCUGUUUCUUCACAGAAGUGACCUCAACACCAGUACAUGUCAAAGUAGGAAUUUCCCAUUUUUGGAAAGGACUGGCUUUGGCCUCCAUUCAGAAAAGAUAUUCUUAUUCAGGCAUUUGUCCAUGGCUCCUGAGUUUCUGAUUUUGAACCUGAAAGCAAAGAGCAAGAACAGAUACUCCCACCACAUGUGGAGGAAGUAGUCAGAAAAAAAACUCAUCAAGAGUCCAAGCUGUUCUCAUUAGGCUUUCCAUGAUUAAAGAAGAUGAUGAGCUCCACAAGCCCCACAAGAAGAUGCAUGAGAUGGCAGGUACUGGACACAAACAGUAAGUUAAACACAGCCAGUGAAUUCAGUCUGCUGGGGAUGUGUGGCACAAUGUGCUGAAGACUUUGGGCAGUGGAGGACGGAGGUGUGCAGGUACUGUGGUGGGGUUUCAGUGAGGUUCACCUGCAGAGGAAAUCCAUACCACCAUGGUCUUCAAAAACAUUGCCUCCAAAGUAUCUAAGAGCCUUCAGGUUUCAAAGGCUGUGAGGAAACACCUGUGGGACUGUUACCAGUAGAAAACCCUGUCCCAGUUAGUCAGGCCCCCCAAUCCCGCAUCAAACAGAGAAACAAGUCUCUUUCUUUGGUGAGAAGGUGAGUUUAUUGAAGAUGCUUCAACAAGAAACUGGAGGAAAGAAAAACCUUUCAAGUCCAGUUCAAAGUGAGAAUUGGUUGGGCUUUUAUAACCUCAAACAGACAAAGAAAUGGCCAGAAGCCAGAAGAAAGCAGAAAGGAAAAUAUAUAUAUAUAUAUAUAUAUAUAUAUAUAUGAGAGAAAGCUGCUCUGUCAGCAUUUCCUUGUUAUCUUGAAGUCUUGAAGUCCUCCCUUCAUUCAGGUUUGUUUUUCAAACAGCCAGUUCUUUAUCAAACCAUAUGGUGGUUUCCUCCUGUGGGCAAUGCUGGGAAAGUUCCUGGGAGCAGAGAGCAAGUUUUUUGUUGUUGAGAGUAGAACAAGAGCAAGUUAUUUUAACAAGGGCUUUUCAUGGUCAGAAUAACUCAAGGCUGCUUGAAUGAAGUGAUCUUAAUAAAGUUUUUUUCUCCUAUUGGCUAUUGAAGACUAUACUAAGCAUUUUCCAGCUAAAGAAUUAUAUUGAAUAUUCUCUACUUAUCCAGCUUUCAGGACCAGAGGAGAUAUUAAACAACUCACAAAGAAUAAUGUCAUUCCCCUUAGGACUUUCUUAGAAGUCAGUGAAGUUCUGCUGGGAUCUCUGGAGGGAACUUCAACUGCAGAUCCUGCCCUUCAAGAAAUUCUCUAUCAAAUAACUGCAUGCUAUUCUUAAGAGAAACAGAAGAUAUUUUGCACUUUAUAGGCUGCAAAUUACUUAGUAAAUUAACUCAAGAAAGGAUUUUAUUUUUUCUCUGAGUUUUAAAAAUUUUUUUCAUUUAUUUUUGUUUUCUGGCUUUGUAAAAUCUUGUCUUUUAGCUUGCAUUCCUUUUGGUUUCUCUUUUAGUCCUUUAAUAACACCUUAAAAUUGUAUAGCCCUUUGGCUUAUAAUCUACAUAAUUCUUUCAUUUUUAAACUACCCCCUUAAGAUCAAUGUGACCAUUUUACAUGUAAGCAUUAAUCAUUAGCGUAAGAGGGAUGGUUCUGAAGGUAGUCUGUGUUCUAAGCAGAAGGAUACAUAAUGUCUUUAUGUCUUCAAAAUAUUGUCUCUAAAUAUCCCUAGAUAAAUUCCCUGGAUCAGGCCAUUGAGAAGGGUAAUUACCCCAGCCUUCCUCCUCUUCCAUGAAUUUCUUUCUUUAAAACCCUAGAUUUUAGUUACUUCUCUCACCAUGGUUUCAGAAGUUUUCGUUGGUUUACUUAUGGCUGAUUAGAUUUGUUAUUUCUCCCACGUCAACUGUUUGUUGCACUACCACCCCCACCCCAAUCAUCUGUACUAUGAGUGGUAAAGGAAAAUGAUAAAUUUAACCCAGUCCCUACAUGCAACCUUUUAAUUUUUCCCCCAAUGCUUUAUUAUGAAAAAUUUUAAACACUACUCAUAUACCCACAAGUUCAACAAUGAACAUUUUGUCAUAUUUGCUCUAUUUGUACAUAUUAUAUUUAUAUACAUAUAAUUUUUUUCUGAACCAUGGGAAUUUGCAAACAUUGAACUGCACUACUAAAUACAUCAGCAUGCAUGUCCUAAACAUAAAGUCCUUUUUUUUAAACAAAACCAUAAUACCAUUGUCAUACCUAAGAAAACGAUUAAUGAUGUUCUAAUAUUGUUUAACAUCUUGUCCAUUUUCACAUUUCUCCAGUUACCCGUGUUUAAUCUUAAAGAACAGUCUCGGAUGUCAAACACUCCUUGGAAAAAACGGCAUGAAAGAUAACCCAUAAUUAAGAAGCUUGGAUCUUUUCCUGAUCUUUUAAAGAAAGCCAGAACUAAAGGGAUUUGCCUUCCGUCAACGUUGAAUCUCUAAGUAAUUCUUUUGUGUAAUUCUCCCUGUCUCCCUCCUAAGAAAACAUAAGGUGAUAUUCGUACCUAAUAAGUUUUCCAAAUAAAACAUAUGUGUUGGGCUGUUGUCUCCCCACCUCCGUUGGGGCUCCACCCCCAUGCCCAGGUCCAGCCUGCUCUCGGGUCCGGAGCCGUCCCCGCCCCGUCACCAUCGGCCGGGUGUCCGCUUUGCGGCACUGCGACCCUCCGAACCCCUGCGAACAUGGCUCCGCGCGCGGCACGGGGCGUGCGGAUCCUCGUCUGCAGCCUGCGCGGCCUCGGCGAUCCCCAGAUCCUGCCCGCCGCGCCCCUGGGGGCUGCAGACGCUGCGCACCGGCCCGGCUCUGCUCUCGGUGCGGAAACUAACAAACAUGAACGGAUAACAACAGAGAAUGGUACUGGAACAGUGGGAAUCAGCAAUUUUGCACAGGAAGCUUUGGGAGAUGUUUACUGUAGUCUUCCUGAGGUUGGGACAAAAUUGAACAAACUAGGAGUGUGGUGCUUUGGAAAGUGUGAAAGCUGCCAGUGAACUUUAUUUUCAUCUAUCAGGAGAAGUAACAGAAAUUAAUGAAGCUCUUGCAGAAAAUCCAGGACUUGUCAACAAAUCUUGUUAUGAAGAUGGUUGGCUGAUCAUGAUAACGCUGAGUAAUCCUUCAGAACUUGAUGAACUAAUGAGUGAAGAAGCAUAUAGAAAUGUAUAAAAUCUAUUGAAGAGUGAAAAUGGAACCCCUAAGUAAACUAGUCUGAAACAGCAUAAUCCAGCAAUAUUUUAAAUUACUGCUGGAUAAAAAUUUAUAAUAGCAACUUUUAGCAAUACCAUAGUAAAGCAAACUGCUUGUUCCAACUAUGCUAUUGAAAGAAAAUACCCCUUAACUUUCUAAUGAUAGCAGAUAAACACAAUUUGCAUCUUUUUCAUAUCACCCAGUGAUUAAGACCAGGAUCUAGUUAUUAUUUUCAGAAUCCAUGAAAUUAUCGGAAGUAAAAACUACUUGCAAAAAUUAAGUAAUUCACAGAUAAGAUUGUUAUCGUAAGCCUUACAUAAUAUUGUAACUUGCUUCAAUCCCUGGAUUUGGGUCAAAAUACUUAAUGAUAUUUCCACUGGAAAUAACUGGGAGUGGAUGUAAGUUUCUGUUAGUUGUACAGUGUCAGGUGAGAAAUAGCACUAUCUUAACUUUGCAAUAUACCUCAUUGGUGGUGCUAUUUUCAUACAAUGAAGCAACAGCCUUGCAGCAAAAUAAGAAACUCUUUAAUAAGAAUAAAACAUUCAACUUCUCCAUAAAAUACAUACAUAUAUAUAUAUAUAUAUAUAUAUAUAUGUUGGGAUUCUUACUGGGUAUCCUGCCUUACCACCUCCCACCCCACCCCACCCCCCAACAAAACAAAACAACAACUGAUUUUAUGUCCUGAUAGUAGUAAGUUCCAGCUUUUCAUGAGUCACCAUUUUUUUUAGGUAUCUAUUUUGUCAUAUGUGAUCUCAUUUAACUUUUACAGCAACGCUUCAGAGCUGGUAUCUGUACUCCCAUUUUAUAGAUAAAUAAAAGAAAAAAAAAUAAAGCUCAGAGAUUAAAUGACUUGUUAAUAAGUAGCAGAGCUAGAAUUUGAAGUGAGUUUUGCAAGACUAAAACUGUUAUGCUCUUUCCACUAUAUUAUGUUUGGAUUUUUCCAGUCUCAUGACCCAGCAGAUGAAGAUUGCUGCAGAAUAAAUGGGAUUCAACACUAACUCUUAACAAAUUUCUUCCCAAUUUGUCCUUCCUAAUCUUUUAAUUAUUUGCUUGUAGCUGUGCAAAUAUUUCUGUCAAUCCUAAACAUGUCUCUUUAAUGAUUCUAGUUCUUUAUUAACCCCUUCCCACAUCCAAAUCCUCUCUCAACAAAUUGUAUAAUUCGUUACUUCAGAUUUCAUCAUACUUUUUCCACCCGUAGCCUGAUUAAGAAGUUGCUUUACUAAACCACUUCUUAGCCUAGCUGUUUGCAUAUCAAGCUAUGGAAGUUAUGUGACCAUAAUCUCCAAGAGGCAAAUGAUUGCUGUUAAAUUUCUCUUGACCUGCAGUGUGCAUUUGCAGUGUAUAUUCAUUCAAUUAAAAAUCAUGUCUUAGACCAAUAGUAUGGCAUGACAGAACACAGACUUGGAUAGUUUAGGUUCAAAUCCUAAUGUGUGACCUUGGGCAAGAUUCUUAUGUCUAGAUACAUUAGUUUUCUUAGCCAUGAAAUGGGGAUGAUAGGAUAAUUCUCAUAGAAUUGUGAUACCCCAAGUGCUUAAGCUGGCGUAGAAUAAGCCAUCCCCCCUCGCCCCCAUCCACCCCAGCUUUAACACCUGUUUAUCAGCCUUUAAAAAAGGUGCUCCUUCAGGACUAUAGACUUAAGCCUUUCUGUUUCAAUUGUAGUGGAUAUAGACAAAGAACCAGGAUUUAUACUAAGUAGUUUUAACUAUCUGUAAAUUUUAUUCCUUCUAAUCUUGAUCUGUUUCUUUGAAAAGAUAUUACUUUUAUGUCUAAAUGUAUGAACAGAUUCUUCAGAUGUCUGAUUCCAGCUUGACAGUUUUGAAUUUGUAUAUUCCUGUCACACAUUAACUGACUCGAAGCACUGGAGGUUUGGUUUAUGCCCCUAAGUUACAUAGCACUUCUUUUCUGCAUUGUAUUGAGGGUUCAUUGAAGGAUUAGUGUUCUGUAGAUGGAAGCACGUGUCUUUUGCCUGGGUCAGAAGUAUUGGAAUAGCACAAGCACUUAUUCAGUGCUGAAUUAGGGGAACCAUUCAUUUAGUCAAAACAAGCAUUCAUAUUCAUUAUCCUGAACAAAACCCAGAAUAAAUGGGAACAUUUCUGGCUGCUUAGACAUUUUACUAAUUGCUGUGUCUGCUAUAUAAAAUGAAAUGACACUUACAGUGACUAUUUAGAAAUAAUCUGUAGCGUGAACAUUUGAAGCUCAGUUCUUUCACAAAUGAAAAUUUUUAACCUCUGCUCUUCAUUUGGCAAUUAUUUAUAGAUCCAGGCCUUGUGCCAAGUAAUGAUUAGAUGAGUAAAAAACAAGGUCUAGUUAACAGUAAAGACAGAAACAUACCCCACUAAUAAAAUGCUAGAUGAGACCCCCCAUUAAAUUCCACAAUUCUGUGUUUUGUAAAAUGGGAGAGUAAAGGAUAUUACUAUUCCUAUUUCUCAGAUAAGAAAAUUAAGGCUCAGAAACAGGUAACUUUACAAGGCCAAACAGCUGGUUGAUGACUGGGCCACACCAGGCCUGGACUCCAGAUUUACUGAUUCUAAGUCCAGUGCUUUUUCUUCUACUUUAUUUUGCAAUCUUUCUUAAUGCUAGAUGAUGACAGGUGAAUAAAGUGAAAAAUUUCACCUAACUAAUAUCUAUUCAGUAUCAGCUACGUGCCAGGCAUUGUUCUAGGUGUUGUGAAUGCAGCUAGGAGGCAAAGAUCCUGUUUUCAUGGAACUCAAAUUUUCAUGCGGAAGCAAGAAUAAGCAAAUAUGUUAUUGUAAUGAUUAUCAUAAAGAAAAAGAAGGCAAACUAAGGAAGAAGAGAGUGAUGGUGGUGAGGAGAGGGGUGUGAGAGCUGCUUUAAAUAAAGUGGUUAGGGGAGGCAUUUCGAUGAGGUGGCACUUGAGCAGAGACCUGAAGUGAUGGCAUGACAGCCAUGCAACUAUCUGGGGGAAGGGCAUGUCUUGGUGAAAAGCAGUGCAAAGGCCCUGAGAUAGGAAUGAGCUUGCAUGUGUUUAAAGAAAAGCCAGAAGAUGAGUAUAACGAGUGAAUGAGGAGCAACCAGAAUCUAAUUCACAGUAUCCAGCAGAACAUGACUGCUAAUUGAAAACUGCAAUUAGCAUUAGUAUUUUUAUGGCCUAAAAUACAAUAAAUUAGGGCCCAACCUCUUUCUCACCCCAACUUCUGAGCACAUAUUAAUUUGUGAGGAAAGUGAAAUGUAUAUAAACAACAUAUUUGAAUAGUGCUACAAAGUAGACACUAUUUUGAGACAUUGAGGAUUUUUUUUUUAACUCCAGUUUUACAGAUGAGAAACCUAAUGCUCAGGAUAUAUGCAUAUUGAGAAAAGUUGGAGUCAGUACAUGAGGCAGGACCAGAAUUCUGAUCUUCUGAAGCAAAAUUUACUGUUUCUUUCUCUGUUGUGCCCUUAUCAAUUAGCUGUGGGGAGCAGAAGAUGAGCCACUGGAUCCUAUAAGGAAGGAAAUUCAGGAAAAAGUUGUCCAGAUCAUUCAUACAUUCAAUAAACACUUAUUAAGGGCCUACUUUGUAUCCUACUUUGUGCCAGAUACUUAGUCAGGCUGGGGGUAUAAUGAUGAAUAAGACAACAGUCCUUUCUUCAAAGAAUUCACAAUAUCCAAUACAGAAAAUAAAUAGAAACUUGAUUAUAACUCAAUAUGACAAUAGCCAGAGUAAUAUACAGACAUAUCUCAUUUUA